UACGAAGGGAGCUAGCGUUGUUCGGAAUCACUGGGCGUAAAGCGCACGUAGGCGGAUUUGUUAGUCAGGGGUGAAAUCCCGGGGCUCAACCUCGGAACUGCCUUUGAUACUGCAAAUCUCGAGUCCGGAAGAGGUUGGUGGAAUUCCUAGUGUAGAGGUGAAAUUCGUAGAUAUUAGGAAGAACACCGGUGGCGAAGGCGGCCCACUGGUCCGGUACUGACGCUGAGGUGCGAAAGCGUGGGGAGCAAACAGG
rnacentral:rRNA from 1 species